GAAAUGCGAUAAGUAAUGUGAAUUGCAGAAUUCAGUGGAAUCAUCGAAUCUUUGAACGCACAUUGCGCCCCCUGGUAUUCCGGGGGGCAUGCCCGUUCGAGCGUCCUUACACCCUCAAGCCUGGCUUGGUGUUGAGCGUCGGCACGUCGCCGCGCUUGGAAUGCGUUAGCGGAACGCGCCGUAUUCCCCUGCGUUUAGGUUGUAGCAAUCGCGCUCGGGUCCGGACGUUCGCGGCUCACACGGUUAAAUUCAUCGGUGACUCGGACCGAAACAGGUUGACCUCGAAUCGGGUAGGGAUACCCGCUGAACUUAAGC
rnacentral:misc_RNA from 1 species